ACGCUCGACACCUACAGGAGGCAGCAGUGGGGAAUAUUGCACAAUGGGGGAAACCCUGAUGCAGCGACGCCGCGUGAGCGAAGAAGUAUUUCGGUAUGUAAAGCUCUAUCAGCAGGGAAGAAACUGACGGUACCUGACUAAGAAGCACCGGCUAAAUACGUGCCAGCAGCCCGGUAAUCUGAGCGGGCUGGCAAGGC
rnacentral:rRNA from 1 species